GGCGGACGGGUGAGUAAUAUAUAGAUAACGUGCCUCUUAGUCUGGGAUAGCCAUUGGAAACGAUGAUUAAUACUAGAUACUCCUUCUUAUCACAUGAUAAGUCGGGAAAGUUUUUUCGCUAAGAGAUCGGUCUAUAUCGCAUCAGUUAGUUGGUGGGGUAACGGCCUACCAAGACAAUGACGCGUAGCGGGUUUGAGAGGAUGAUCCGCCACACUGGUACUGAGACACGGACCAGACUCCUACGGGAGGCAGCAGUGAGGAAUAUUGCACAAUGGGGGAAACCCUGAUGCAGCAACGCCGCGUGGAGGAUGACGCAUUUCGGUGUGUAAACUCCUUUUAUGAGUCAAGAAAAUGACGGUAGCUCAUGAAUAAGCACCGGCUAACUCCGUGCCAGCAGCCGCGGUAAUACGGAGGGUGCAAGCGUUACUCGGAAUCACUGGGCGUAAAGGACGCGUAGGCGGGUUAUCAAGUCAGGUGUGAAAUCCUAUGGCUCAACCAUAGAACUGCACUUGAAACUGGUAACCUAGAGUAUGGGAGGGGCAGAUGGAAUUAGUAGUGUAGGGGUAAAAUCCGUAGAUAUUACUAGGAAUACCGAAGGCGAAGGCGAUCUGCUGGAACAUUACUGACGCUAAGGCGUGAAAGCGUGGGGAGCAAACGGGAUUAGAUACCCCGGUAGUCCACGCCCUAAACGAUGAACACUAGUCGUCGGGGAGCUAGUCUCUUCGGUGAUGCACUUAACAGAUUAAGU
rnacentral:rRNA from 1 species